AUUGAACGCUGGCGGCAGGCCUAACACAUGCGAGUCGAACGGUAACAGGAAGAAGCUUGCUUCUUUGCUGACGAGUGGCGGACGGGUGAGUAAUGUCUGGGAAACCGCCUGAUGGAGGGGGAUAACUACUGGAAACGGUAGCUAAUACCGCAUAACGUCGCAAGACCAAAGAGGGGGACCUUCGGGCCUCUUGCCAUCGGAUGUGCCCAGAUGAGAUUAGCUAGUAGGUGGGGUAACGGCUCACCUAGGCGACGAUCCCUAGCUGGUCUGAGAGGAUGACCAGCCACACUGGAACUGAGACACGGUCCAGACUCCUACGGGAGGCAGCAGUGGGGAAUAUUGCACAAUGGGCGCAAGCCUGAUGCAGCCAUGCCGCGUGUAUGAAGAAGGCCUUCGGGUUGUAAAGUACUUUCAGCGGGGAGGAAGGGAGUAAAGUUAAUACCUUUGCUCAUUGACGUUACCCGCAGAAGAAGCACCGGCUAACUCCGUG
rnacentral:rRNA from 1 species